rnacentral:rRNA from 1 species
GAUGAACGCUGGCGGCGUGCCUAAUACAUGCAAGUCGAGCGAACGGACGAGAAGCUUGCUUCUCUGAUGUUAGCGGCGGACGGGUGAGUAACACGUGGAUAACCUACCUAUAAGACUGGGAUAACUUCGGGAAACCGGAGCUAAUACCGGAUAAUAUUUUGAACCGCAUGGUUCAAAAGUGAAAGACGGUCUUGCUGUCACUUAUAGAUGGAUCCGCGCUGCAUUAGCUAGUUGGUAAGGUAACGGCUUACCAAGGCAACGAUGCAUAGCCGACCUGAGAGGGUGAGCGGCCACACUGGAACUGAGACACGGGCCAGACUCCUAAGGGAGGCAGCAGUAGGGAAUCGUCCGCAAUGGGCGAAAGCCUGACGGAGCAACGCCGCGUGAGUGAUGAAGGUCUUCGGAUCGUAAAACUCUGUUAUUAGGGAAGAACAAAUGUGUAAGUAACUGUGCACAUCUUGACGGUACCUAAUCAGAAAGCCACGGCUAACUACGUG